rnacentral:misc_RNA from 1 species
UUUCCGUAGGUGAACCUGCGGAAGGAUCAUUAACAAAAAAAUCAAAAUCCACCUUAGGAAAAAACCUCUGGAGAAGAAAUUCAAAAGGGGUUUUUUCCUUAAGCAAACAGUGAACUUUGUUAAAGUUUAUAAUAAGAUCUACCGAAAGGUAGCAUCUUUUUUAAAAACAAAACUUGUUUAAUUAUUCUGUCUUAUCCUUCUUAAACUGAAUUAGUUCUUCGGAUCUUUUUUAGAAAGAAUAUUUAAACCAAAAAGUAACAACUUUUAACAACGGAUAUCUUGGCUCUU